GGGGGCGAAACGGCUUCGACGGGGAUUAAGAUGCUUUGGUUGCAUGACGAGUCCCACCAUCUCGUAAAAAGGUGGACAUAACAUAAUCGCAGACGAUUAUAACUACGCCAUGGCCGCUUAAAGGCCAUCGUCCUUCCGGGUUUUUCCUGCAAACCUGGUUUGGACGCGACUAGCAGGAUAGCUGAUUCUGGAUUCCUGUUUCAUUAUCAGCAAACUUUCACAGGAUAGUCUUAAAAGCAUCCCGCCUGGAGGAGGCUUUAAAGGCGAAUGCCAAAGUUCAGGAUAUGCAUGUAGACGCCAUUGUUGAAGGUUUCCGGACGCGGGUUCGACUCCCGCCGCCUCCACCA
rnacentral:tmRNA from 1 species